rnacentral:rRNA from 1 species
UACGUAGGGGGCAAGCGUUGUCCGGAAUCAUUGGGCGUAAAGAGCGUGUAGGCGGCCAGAUAAGUCCGCUGUGAAAUCUCGAGGCUCAACUUCGAGCUGUCGGUGGAAACUGUCUGGCUAGAGUCCGGAAGAGGAGAAUGGAAUUCCUGGUGUAGCGGUGAAAUGCGCAGAUAUCAGGAAGAACACCCGUGGCUAAGGCGGCUCUCUAGUACGGUACUGACGCUGAGACGCGAAAAGCGUGGGGAGCGAACAGG